rnacentral:lncRNA from 1 species
UUCACUGGUCCCACUUAUGACCCAAAGGCACAACUUUGUACUGUGGCUGGUGUAGUCUGUGACCAGUAAAAUAAAUAAAUAAAUAAAUGAAUAAAUAAAUAAAUAACAUUUGUAACCUUAGAUUUUUUUUUUUGACCCAGAGGUUCUCAUAAAUGACAUACACAAAAAUGCUCUUUCCCUUUGAGGUGCACUCUCAUUGGUGGAACCAAGAUUCUGUACAAAUGCUGGCCUUACAGUUUGUGAUCAGGAGACUGCUGAAUUGUCUAGAGAAUUUCACAGUGUUGAGAUUAGGUAGAAUGCCCAGAAUGGGAUGGGUAUUUCCUUGCCUUAGUGGAGCAAAAUUAGCCAUAGAUUAAGAAUGUUCCUGCCAGGGGCAGUAGCUCACUCCUGUAAUCCUAGUACUUUGGGAGCCUUGAGCUCAGGAGUUUCAGAGCAGCCUGGGCAACAAGGCAAAAACUCAUCUCUACAAAACAUACAAAAGUUAGCCAGGCAUGAUGGCAUGCACUCAUGGUCUUAGCUACUCAGGAGGCUGAGGUGGGAGGAUCACCUGAGCCUGGGAAGGUCGAGGCUGCUGUAA